GCUUCUGAUGAGGUAAUUUGCGAUUGAUUCUAUUUUGAUGGCGCUCUCGCCGGAGCUGCUAUAUCAAGUAGAAAACUGAUAGUUAAUUUCUUACAUAUUCUGACU
rnacentral:snoRNA from 1 species